ACAAACUUGGCACUGCUGAGCAGGCCUAAGGCUGGAAGGAACCCAGUUCUGCAGAAUCUCAAUCUAGCACUUUCCUUUCUAGAGUUUGUUCUGCUCUGGUUCAAAUUUCCUCCCUGGUAUUUCAGGAAAACUGAAGAUAAUUUUUUUUUUCCUCUUGCGCCUGCUCAUUUGGUGUCCUGGCUCCGCCCUUUGUCUUUGGCCCAUUACUCUGGAAAGCCUUUCAAAGCAAAGAGCUGCAUUAAAAGCCUGUGGGAAAAUUCAUGAACUACCUGCUCAAGUGAAAGGAAUCAUUAACACAAGCAGCUUACCACAUCGUCUUCCGUCCAGGCACCAAUAUCAAAAGAAGGCAGCAGCUGCGCAGGAAAUAUGAAUGAAAUAAUAAUAAUAAAAAACAGUUUAGGAACAAAUAUCAGAACCCAUUGAUGAUGACUGAAAUUGGAAUCAUCCUUAGAAACUCAGGUUGCAGAGGGCUGCUCUGACUAAGAGUAAAUCAAACUAGACUUUUUCUUGGCUAAAUGCACUGCCAUGAAAGAUGACUUUAUAGAAGACUCCAACCUGCUUAGCUAGAGCCACUCAUUCUGCUAAAUGCUACAUGGGCAGCCGAGUACAGCUGCAGAAACAUGUCACUCCCUUCCCCUCAUGGAAGCAAAUAUCAAAUAAAAAACUUUUUUUGAUUAGCCCAAGAAACAACAGACUGAGUUACAGAAAUAUUUCUCUACAUCAAAGCUGGUUUUCACAUCAAGUGGGAGGAUGUGUAUGUAAUGUUUUGAUUGUGUGUGUGUUUGUAUCUCCUAAAUGUACUAAACAAAGCUGGUAAGUAAGUAUUUUUUGGAUAGAAUGAAGAUUUUUAAGUAAACAGCUAAUCAAGUUAACAUCUCUGAUGAUGUUGUCAAAAGGAGAGCAGAAGAGUUACCUUGUGCUCUAAGGACGGCUCGUGGAGAUGAGGGCAGGGAAAGGACACUAGCUCCAGCUGGUGACUCCCUCCAGUGGGAUUCUUGUGCCACACUUGCAAAGAUCAGUGGGGGCAAAAAGCUGGAGCCAGGCCUCAAGAUGGUUUGAAUUUGCCAAGACAGGGGUAAGAGUUAAUGAUCUCCAGCCACACAGAGGCUUGCCAUCUCCUUUACGCUUUCUGUACCUUGUUAACAUAUCAGUUAGGGUGAGUUCUAAGCAUUUCUGUCUCUCUUUGAGGAUAAACAUAAACCCCACCUUAUGACUGCCCCAUCACUUUAUAAAUUCAUUAUUU